rnacentral:piRNA from 1 species
ACCAAGGAACUGAUAAAUUGACUAUGGU